GACGAACGCUGGCGGCGUGCCUAAUACAUGCAAGUCGAGCGGACGGAUGGGAGCUUGCUCCCAGACCGUCAGCGGCGGACGGGUGAGUAACACGUGGGCAACCUGCCUGUAAGACUGGGAUAACUCCGGGAAACCGGGGCUAAUACCGGAUAACUCUUUCCCUCACAUGAGGGAAAGCUGAAAGAUGGCAUCUCGCUAUCACUUACAGAUGGGCCCGCGGCGCAUUAGCUAGUUGGUGAGGUAACGGCUCGCCAAGGCGACGAUGCGUAGCCGACCUGAGAGGGUGAUCGGCCACACUGGGACUGAGACAUGGCCCAGACUCCUACGGGAGGCAGCAGUAGGGAAUCUUCCGCAAUGGACGAAAGUCUGACGGAGCAACGCCGCGUGAGUGAUGAAGGUUUUCGGAUCGUAAAACUCUGUUGUCAGGGAAGAACAAGUACCGGAGUAACUGCCGGUACCUUGACGGUACCUGACCAGAAAGCCACGGCUAACUACGUG
rnacentral:rRNA from 1 species